UCUGUUGAAAUGAUCUAAAAUUACGCCACAAACAAGCAUCUGUCCAUUCACUGCCCCUGACCAGCCAGUAGAGGGCGCUCCCGCUCUCUGCAUGGCUUUGCUCGGUGAGGUGAACACGCGGAAAGGGAAGAGGAAGAGAUCACAUGGCCUAGAUGGGUUUUCUGUUCGCUCACUGUGGCUUUUACUGAUCACGGCUGAUGAACUCUCUCCUCUGUCGUCCUGAGCGACAGAAACACGUAAAACUCCCUUCGUUUGAGGAAGACGGGAUCCUGAGUCUGAAGUGGGAGCAAUUAUGGUUGGGGUUUGAAGUUCCCUCCUCUGCGUUUCUGUCAGACAGCAAAGCAGCAGGAUGUGGACUCGCUGUGCAGGGAAAGUUAACCCUGCGUGGGCCCUGUGGCCCUCCGGAGCACCUGGACUGAAUACUGGUGGGCUCUAAUCCAGUCAAAGGGGGGGACACACUCGAGUUUGACCCUGCUGAUGAGUUAACAAUAACAAGCUUGUAACGAGGAGAAGCGAAGGCGAUGAACUGGGAGGAUGUCCAGCCGACAACGAACGAUAUUCAGGCAGAAAGACGGACAGUUUCAAACCGGGGGACGGUCUCUUUACGUCCCGCCGCCAUCUUGUCCAAACCGCUAACCUGAAGGACACGUCGGAGUACGAUUCUGAAAACAUUUACCCUUUAUUUUGUGCAUUUUUAAUUGUAAUUCCUUUGGCAACUUGUUUUACAGUUGUUGAGGAAAUCAGCAAACAGCAUACUUGCUACGUGACUGUAAUGCAACUACAAUCUGUGCUAAUAAAAAUUGACAUACAGGCUCAUAAAACUUGUAAAUAAACUUCAUUGGACUUAAGAGAUGCGUCAAGUGAGGUUAGGAUUUGUUGUCUGUGGCAAAAAUAGUGUUUUACAAUCGUUCUUGUUUUGUAACAAUGUAAAAAAGAGAGUUUUUUUUUUACAUGAGUUUAGUUCAAAUAAAGAUUUAACUUGACAAAAGGAUUUUUUUUCACUUCAAAACAGGAACAUUGGCAGUCAGGAAGGUGGGAAAGAAAACGUUACAUCAAAGAUCUUUUCUUUUUGUACCAAGAAAUCAGAGUUUUGCAAAGCUGUGAAAAUUUUUUACAAACGUUUUUACACUUUCUGAGAUUUAUUCUGUUCUUUUUUUUUUUUUUUGUUAAGCUUAAACCAUUCAGCUCAUCGAGGAAAAAUAACCUCAGGAAAUACAAUAAAUAAAGUACUUGCUCCCGA